rnacentral:rRNA from 1 species
GAGUUGAUCUUGGCUCAGGAUGAACGCUGGCGGCGUGCCUAAUACAUGCAAGUCGAGCGAACGGACGAGAAGCUUGCUUCUCUGAUGCUAGCGGCGGACGGGUGAGUAACACGUGGAUAACCUACCUAUAAGACUGGGAUAACUUCGGGAAACCGGAGCUAAUACCGGAUAAUAUUUUGAACCGCAUGGUUCAAAAGUGAAGACGGUCUUGCUGUCACUUAUAGAUGGAUCCGCGCUGCAUUAGCUAGUUGGUAAGGUAACGGCUUACCAAGGCAACGAUGCAUAGCCGACCUGAGAGGGUGAUCGGCCACACUGGAACUGAGACACGGUCCAGACUCCUACGGGAGGCAGCAGUAGGGAAUCUUCCGCAAUGGGUGAAAGCCUGACGGAGCAACGCCGCGUGAGUGAUGAAGGUCUUCGGAUCGUAAAACUCUGUUAUUAGGGAAGAACAUAUGUGUAAGUAACUGUGCACAUCUUGACGGUACCUAAUCAGAAGGCCACGGCUAACUA